rnacentral:rRNA from 1 species
CUGGGGAGGCAUCUCCUUUGGUUGAAAGUUCCGGCGGUUUGAGAUGGACAUGCGUUGUAUUAGCUAGAUGGUGAGGUAACGGCUCACCAUGGCGACGAUACAUAGGGGGACUGAGAGGUUAACCCCCCACAUUGGUACUGAGACACGGACCAAACUCCUACGGGAGGCAGCAGUGAGGAAUAUUGGUCAAUGGACGCAAGUCUGAACCAGCCAUGCCGCGUGCAGGAUGACGGCUCUAUGAGUUGUAAACUGCUUUUGUAUGAGGGUAAUAUCAGGUACGUGUACCUGUUUGAAAGUAUCAUACGAAUAAGGAUCGGCUAACUCCGUGCCAGCAGCCGCGGUAAUACGGAGGAUCCAAGCGUUAUCCGGAUUUAUUGGGUUUAAAGGGUGCGUAGGCGGUUUGAUAAGUUAGAGGUUAAAUGUCAGGGCUCAACUCUGGCCUGCCUCUAAUACUGUUGGACUAGAGAGUAGAUGCGGUAGGCGGAAUGUAUGGUGUAGCGGUGAAAUGCGUAGAGAUCAUACAGAACACCGAUUGCGAAGGCAGCUUACCAAACUAUAUCUGACGUUGAGGCACGAAAGCGUGGGUAGCAAACAGGAUUAGAUACCCUGGUAGUCCACGCAGUAAACGAUGAUAGCUCGUUGUCGGCGAUACACAGUCGGUGACUUAGAGAAAUCGAUAAGCUAUCCACCUGGGGAGUACGUUCGCAAGAAUGAAACUCAAAGGAAUUGACGGGGGCCCGCACAAGCGGAGGAACAUGUGGUUUAAUUCGAUGAUACGCGAGGAACCUUACCCGGGCUUGAAAGUUAUUGACGAUUCUGGAAACAGGAUUUCCCUUCGGGGCAAGAAACUAGGUGCUGCAUGGUUGUCGUCAGCUCGUGCCGUGAGGUGUCGGGUUAAGUCCCAUAACGAGCGCAACCCUUGCUGUUAGUUGCCAUCAGGUUAAGCUGGGCACUCUAACGGGACUGCCUCUGUAAGGAGGAGGAAGGUGAGGAUGACGUCAAAUCAGCACGGCCCUUACGUCCGGGGCGACACACGUGUUACAAUGGUAGGUACAGAGGGCAGCCACCCAGCGAUGGGGAGCAA